rnacentral:rRNA from 1 species
CCUACGGGAGGCAGCAGUAGGGAAUAUUGGGCAAUGGAGGCAACUCUGACCCAGCCAUGCCGCGUGCAGGAUGAAGGCGUUAUGCGUUGUAAACUGCUUUUAUAUAGGAAGAAAGAGUUCUUGCGAGAACAGUUGACGGUACUAUAUGAAUAAGCACCGGCUAACUCCGUGCCAGCAGCCGCGGUAAUACGGAGGGUGCAAGCGUUGUCCGGAUUUAUUGGGUUUAAAGGGUGCGUAGGCGGUUUAUUAAGUCAGUGGUGAAAGACGGUCGCUCAACGAUUGCAGUGCCAUUGAUACUGGUAGACUUGAGUGAGAUUGAGGUAGCUGGAAUGGAUAGUGUAGCGGUGAAAUGCAUAGAUAUUAUCCAGAACACCAAUUGCGUAGGCAAGUUACUAAGUCUCAACUGACGCUGAGGCACGAAAGUGUGGGUAUCAAACAGGAUUAGAUACCCUGGUAGUCCACACUGUAAACGAUGAUAACUAACUGUUGGUUUUCGAAUCAGUGGUACAGAGAAAUCGUUAAGUUAUCCACCUGGGGAGUACGCCGGCAACGGUGAAACUACGAAAGAUUGACGGNGNGAGAGNGACGACGACGACGACGAGGGAGGAGG